AGGGAAGACGCAAUAUAAAGGAAGGGAGUGAGGGGAGCGAAGAGACGAUGCGGAGAUCGAUCCAAAACCAUCUCUGAUUGCCGCCAUGAGAUUCGGAUUCAGUCUCAGUGAUUCGGAGUCUGUUCGUGGAGCGGGGAGCAGUUUCAGAAGAUCAAGAGCUGGAAUCUCACCUGAUAGAGGUUCAUGUGUUUCAACCACUAGCAAAUCUAUUCCUUGUUCUAAGAGAGCAUCUGACGGAUUGAGGGAGUAUUCCAAGAAGAUAGUUGACGUUGAAACAUUCUCUAGCUGUAUUGAAGAUUGGGUCCUUCAGAAGCUGCCAUCUAAUAGUUGUGACAAGAAACUUCUGUUCAAACCCCCAUUUCUGGUUGAUGAAUUGCAAAAACUUGAUUAUGCACUUGAUGGGGCCUUUUUCCAGCAACUUUUCCGGAUGCCUUAUUCUCAUCAUGGUUAUGAUAAUUCUAGAGAAGAGAAGUUUCUGGCUUUAGUAUGCUUCCUUCAAACUAUCAUAGAUGGCCUCUGGCGAACAUUUUGGCAUAAAACUGGAGAGCCACCUUUUUUUGUUUCUUGUCCUCGCUAUCCUGGAUCUAGAUUUUAUACUAUUGAGCAAGCAGCAUCAAAUGGAAGGCUUGGAGGGCUUUGUGGAGCAGCAGUUGUAGCCAAAGUUGAUUCUGACUCACAUGUUCGGUGGAAUGAUGUGCUUGAGCUCGCACUGUUCAAAUCUGACAUUACUGAUGGUAAGAGCAAGGCUUUUUCCAUGCUAAGUAUAUGUGAAGCCCUUUUCUAUGGAUUCCAUAUACUUCUCUCAAGGAAUUUGAGCAAGUCCAGUGCAUCUAAAAGCAGCUCUAUUUAUAUGUUGGUUCUGGACUCAAAAUUUGGUGGAAUAAUCAAGUUUGGUGGUGAUCUAAGCCGGCUGGAUGUGAAUUCAUGCAACCCAUACCACGCUGUUGUAGAGUGGAUUAAGAACCAUGCUGAGGUCUCUGUCUCUCCUAUUGAUCGUGUAUGGACUAAACUAGGAAAUGCAAAUUGGGGGGAUGUAGGAACUCUUCAGCUACUAUUGGCAACCUAUUAUUCCAUCAUUCAGUGGAAAGGACCACCAAGAAAGUCCAUUGCAUCUCUAGCCACAGAUCAGAGUCUUCUCAUUCAAAAACGUAGAUUGGAAUGCUAUGGUCUGUCCGCACAGAUUCAAAAUGGCCACAAUGGUCAAUGGGAGACGAUAGAACUUGAUCAUCAGUCUGAUCAAACUCCCAACAAGCUGUCUAUGCGUCCAAACCUCAAGGAAGGUGAAGUAAUUCAUUUGGAGGACUCUCAAGGCCAAGUAAAAUUUCAGAUAAAAGACAUCAUUCUAGUCGGUGAUUCCCUAUCUUAUAGUGCUUUCACUCUUGAUCAACCUUGCAAACUAUUUACAUUAUAUGUUGGUGUUCAUCCAUCUAGGCUUGAACCAUCUUGGGAGGCUAUGAGCCUAUGGUAUCUUGUGCAAAGGCAAACCAAGAUAUUAAACAUUAUGAAGCAGCAAGGGGUCUCGAGUAAAAAUUUGCCUGAACUUAUUUUGUCUGGGAGGGUUUUGCAUCCAGGCCAUUGUUCUAAACAGAAUCCUGGAGAUUGCUGCGAACACCCUUGGUGUGGAACCCCUGUGCUUGUGACUUCUCCAGUUGGUGAACCAGUAUCACAUAUCAUUGCUCGGUAUGGGUCUUUUUGCACUGAGGAAGCCUUGCGUUUCUGUAGGGAUAUUUUGACAUCUUUGAAAAGUGCAGCAUCGGCAAACAUACAACAUGGUGAUAUCUGUCCUGAAAAUAUAGUGCGAGUUAUUUCCUCAAAUGGUAGGACUGAGUCAUUAUACAUAGCUGUGUCCUGGGGCCGUGCAGUUCUGGAAGAUAGGGACAGUCCUGCUAUGAACUUACAGUUUUCUUCUGUCUAUGCUCUUCAACACAGGAAGCUUUGCCCGUCCUCUGACACUGAGAGCCUAAUUUACCUCCUUUAUUUUGUGUGCGGAGGUGAGAUGCAACAACAGGAUUCUAUUGAAUCGGCAUUGAGGUGGAGGGAGAGAUGCUGGGCUAAGCGCAUGAUUCAACACCAGCUAGGUGAAGUUUCGACUCUUCUCAAAGCAUUUGCUGAUUAUGUGGACAGCCUCUGUGGAACUCCAUAUCCUGUUGAUUAUGAUAUUUGGCUGAGGAGACUGAAUCGUGUAGUUGCUUGUUCAGAUAAGGGCAAAUGUGUCGAGAGAUCGGAAACUAGUCUAAGAUUUGAGGAUGUUGCUGAGACUUCGGGAACUUCAGGGUGGUUGUUCAUCCUUUACUUACUGAAAAGAAGACAUGCAUCACUGCUAUUUCUCAUGCAAGUUUCAUUCGAGUAUAUUUUCUGAGAAAAUGGGAUGAGAUAAGGCAUCUGAAAUUUAAAAAUAGCCUGUCAUCAUUAUUGAGUUUUGGUCAACCAAAGAUAUACCUGAGUCUGGAGUUCACUAGCCAAGAUGAAAACACUUGUAGCUUUGGCAAUGUGAUACAUGCAAUCCACACAACAAUGUAAUUAAGAGAUUUCUCCACAAAAUUACGACAUUCCCCAUCAUAUUUUAGAACCAAAGUUUUCAGAAUUCUUUGGUGCAAAAUGCUGCUCCAAAGUUAAAGAUCUGAUUUCUACAUCUGAAAGGUUUUUGUCAAAGAUCUGAUUGCUUCAAUGUGUGCAGAGUGGUUGUCAUCAUUAUAUAAAUGACCUUCAAGGAACAGGAAAGAACAUUGAUGUUCAACCCAAGGAACGGAUUGAAAAGUAAAUGACAGACAAUUUCAAGUUGGUUUGAUUCACACAUC